ensembl:lncRNA
CCCGCCGAAGCAACAGCCGAGAAGGAGGAAAAAUGUCGCUGGCUUCGACACGGACCGUUCUAGGAUCAGUGUCCUUAUAAGACGAUUCGGAUUGAAACUUGCUACUCCUCCACAACAAGUUGAGCGUGAGAGUCAGUUUACUCAUUUGACCGUAACACUACAUUGGGCCUCAUUACAUCCAGCAGCCUCCAUGGACAUGGACCCACCAGGGUCCACCAGGGUGGUGGGUCUGGAUGCCCAGGGCAACAUGGUCUUCACUGUGGUGAAACCAGUGAUGGGCAUCUACCAGGUGUCUUCGGAGCAAACGGGCAGCGUCGCACACGGGGGUAUGGGGCUCCAGGGUUUGUCCGAAAACACGUUGAUCCUCCCUGAAGUGCAAGGCCAGGCGCCGCUGGACCAGAACCAGACGGAAAUGCACGGCCUCCAGCCUAAUAUUCAGAUGCCCCACAUGCAGAUUCCUGUCCCAGUGCAGACCGAGCUCGUGUCCCAGAUUCUGGACCCGCAGCCCGACGCCGGCACAAACCCCGAGUCGGCCUCCCAUAUGCCUUUUGCAGAGGUGUCGUCACUCCUGGACCCCAACAUGAAAGGAUCCAAGGCGCGGAAAUACCUCAUCUCGUACGAGGAGAUCAAGCGGCGCCUGCAGGCCCCGGAGAAGAUGUCCCUGCGCUCCCUGGCAGCCUACACUCGGGUCAGCCGAGGUCCGGCCAGCAAAAAGACGCUGCUGGAGUCGCUCAACGUCCUCGGCCUCACGCCGAGCACAACUACCUCCGUGUCCUCCUCGUUCUCCAAACUCACCGAAGGUGACGGGAAACGUGUUGGCAGUGUGGAGGCGUGUUUGCACCUGUCAGUGUGUAGAAGUGUUACAAGAAGAGGAACCACCUGGAGGAUAUGAGGAGAUGCUUCAAGGACCCGGUGAACAGCGGCGCGUUUGACAACGUCACUCACGGCCUGGGUCUGGGAGCGCUGGACGUCGCGCUGGACGUGAUCGUGAUGGUCAUCGAGCAGCAGAUUCGGAUCCUCUCCGGGGCGGCGGCGUCGGACCCGGCCGACUCCGGUCCGCCGAUGCGCCGCGUCCGCCGGCGGCACCGCAAAGCCCGCUCGACCGACAACGAGAGCCCCCGCAAGGUGUCUGCGGGGGUCAAAGAGCCGGGGAGGGCCAUUUCCAAAGGCAAAGGGCGAGGCCGGUCCAGGAAUAAGAUAAGACAGGAAACCGGCGCAGCGGUUCCCAUGGAAACCCAAGCAGAACAAUGCAAGCCCGAUGAGGUGGAGAAUAACGUCCUAACCCUGGUGUCUGUCGGAUAUGAGACCGUUUCUUGUGAACUGAAUGCAGCCGGAACAGUUUGACACCUGGUCACGUGACCGGCCCCAAAACAAACGAACAAACAAACAAUCGUCCUCCGGUUCAAAGGGAUGGGAAACGGACCGCACAAGUUGAGCUGCUGCGAGGGACGUCUCAGCACCAACGUGUAAUCCCAAAGUACUUGAAGUCCAACUGAAAAUAGUUUGACAUUUUAGGUAGCACAAUUUCUCAAGUAAAUAGGUAGGGUAAAUAUGUAGCUGGAGCCAGCACACUAUUAGCUUAGCAUAAAGACUGGCGCCUGGGGAACAGGGGAAGGGUCAACAGCUAGCCUAGCUCCGUCCAAUGGUAACAAGAACAACUCUAAAGCUUCCAAAUGAACACCUUUAGUCUCAUUUGUUUAAUCUGCACAGAAAAAAGUCACAGUAGAGGCUUUGUGUUAAACAAUGAACUCUUGUGUUUUACACCAUUACGAUUAAGGAGAUCUUUCCCUGCUCGUAACUCUACUAUUCCACAGCUGAACUCCAGCCAAAGAUUGUUGUGACAGAGCAGCUAAUAUCGUCGGCGAGAACAUGAAGUGUUUGAAUGCUUCACACCUCGUGUUUGAAGGCGAGGAGAGAGAGAGGGGAAGCUAAUAAGCACCCCCCCCCAUGCCGAACUACUCCUUUAAAGGGAAUCCUCUCUUUGUUCUGUAGCAUCGUAUGUGUGUUCGUGUAGUGUAACUGGAUCCAGUUGUAACUGUUUUCUCAUGCCAUGUUUUUGAUGAAAAAACUGAAAUCACCACCUGAAAUAUGUUGUAAACAUGUUGUUCAUGCACAAGGUAGAACCGAUGACAUCAGAGGUCUUGGAUCACACGUCUUACCGUUUGGUAACAAUGUCCUUUAUUUCCCAGUUGUAUUUAUUCAUUAGAGAUGCAAUUAAACAUCUGUUGGUCUGAACUGAAGCAUAAAGAUUUCAUUUUGAAUAAC